rnacentral:rRNA from 1 species
UACGGAGGGUGCGAGCGUUGUCCGGAAUCAUUGGGCGUAAAGGGCGCGUAGGUGGCCCGGUCAGCGUGCGGUGAAAUCGCGGGGCUCAACCCCGCGCCGGCCGUGCGAACUGCGGGACUCGAGCACUGUAGAGGCAGAUAGAAUUCCGGGUGUAGCGGUGGAAUGCGUAGAGAUCCGGAAGAACACCGGUGGCGAAGGCGGUCUGCUGGGCAG